UCCCGUGGGUACCGAGGUAAGGCUCCAGUGAACUAGUUUUCUGAUAGAAAGCAAUGAUCUUUCCAUCGACAAGUUGAUCAAUGAGAUUGUCACAAUGUCCCAUUGAGAUAAAGCACCCAAUAAUCCCUCGAAAAAAAGACGAGUUGACCAAAAUUCUUCACCUAACCUCAAUACACAUGCAGAGGAAGAUUCAACGACUGACAAUCCUGAAAUUACUCCAGAGGAUGCCACAGUUAACGGAAGAAGAAAAUUGAGAAAGUGGUCAAGAGGACAGACUGGAAUACAUCAGGAAUGAGGAAACAUCUGAGAGCUUGUCAUAAUAAAAUAUAUAAGGAGGAUUUUGGGGUGAAAGAUUCAGCUGAGUGUGGACAGAAGAAAAUCGACCAGAUGUUUUCCGAG